AAACAUUUUAUAAGGAGGUAACUGGGUUAUUUAAAAGAAUUUAGGAAAGUGUAGGAUGACCAUUUGAUCCACACUCCAGUCCAGAUGGUGGCGGUAAUGCACCAAAAAGCUGGUUGCCAACCGCCAUAUAAAAAAGAAGAAGAAG